AGUGAACGCUGGCGGUAGGCCUAACACAUGCAAGUCGAACGGCAGCACAGUAAGAGCUUGCUCUUACGGGUGGCGAGUGGCGGACGGGUGGGGAAUACAUCGGAAUCUACUUUUUCGUGGGGGAUAACGUAGGGAAACUUACGCUAAUACCGCAUACGACCUACGGGUGAAAGCAGGGGAUCUUCGGACCUUGCGCGACUGAAUGAGCCGACGUCGGAUUAGCUAGUUGGCGGGGUAAAGGCCCACCAAGGCGACGAUCCGUAGCUGGUCUGAGAGGAUGAUCAGCCACACUGGAACUGAGACACGGUCCAGACUCCUACGGGAGGCAGCAGUGGGGAAUAUUGGACAAUGGGCGCAAGCCUGAUCCAGCCAUACCGCGUGGGUGAAGAAGGCCUUCGGGUUGUAAAGCCCUUUUGUUGGGGAAGAAAAGCAGCAGGUUAAUACCCCGCUGUUCUGACGGUACCCAAAGAAUAAGCACCGGCUAACUUCGUG
rnacentral:rRNA from 1 species